rnacentral:lncRNA from 1 species
UCCAGAUGAUCCUUAUGCAUGCUGAACUCUGAGAGCCACCAGUGAAGAAGAUAAGUGACCCAUCUACCUGUAGCUGGAAAAUAAAGGCUCUUUGGGAUUCUUUCCCAUGAGUCUUCAUUUCACCAUAUUGGUGAGAGAAGGCAUUCAGGCCCAAUAAUUAACUGAACAUUAGCUGUGUACCAGACACUGUGGUCGACAUUGAGAUAUAACGGAUUUAAGAAAGUCUUUGUGGCUGUGGUGGCUUCAAAUCACUCCCGAGGCUUUAGAAGAAUAUAAUUGCCGUUCUAAGAAGAAUCUGAGGCCUCUAGGAGAUCUGCCAGUAGUGGCCCCAAUGUAUAACAGCACUAGCUCAGUGAAGAGAGAGAGAAAAGAUCUGAAGAGAGUGGUUGCAGUUUGAGCUCUGUCAAUGGGACAGUCCUGGGCAGGAGACUGGGGAGAAGAGGCGGCUUGCUGGUUUUCCUGAACCACUUCCACCCUGAAAGACUCCUUGCAUACAAUCAUCAGAGAAGAACCGUGGGAACCAAGAACCAUGAGCAGGAGAACCAUGAGCAGUAAGCACCUACAGGGACUGUGGAAAUGGGAGAGACACUUGGACAGAAAAGCAGCUGAAGAUGGGAUGAGAAAGCAGACAAAGGAGGGAAGUGCUUCUGAACAGAGUGCCAG